rnacentral:rRNA from 1 species
AAACAUCGCCUUCUGAUACUCAUAGAAGGUCCAGCCUGCCCAGUGACUAAGUUAAACGGCCGCGGUACCCUAACCGUGCAAAGGUAGCGCAAUCACUUGUUCUUUAAAUGAGGACUAGUAUGAACGGCAUCACGAGGGUUACACUGUCUCCCUAUUCCAUUCAGUGAAACUGAUCUUCCCGUGAAGAAGCGGGAAUAUAAAUAUAAGACGAGAAGACCCCAUGGAGCUUUAAACUCAGUGUCAUCUGCCACUUCAAUACCCUCUUAAUUACGCAGACCAUGAUAACUAGUUUUCGGUUGGGGUGACCGCGGAGUAAAACAAAACCUCCACAACGAAAGGAACUAACAACCUAAUCCAAGAGCAACAUCUCUAAGAAUCAACAAAUUGACUUAAUUGAUCCAAUUACUUGAUCAACGAACCAAGUUACCCUGGGGAUAACAGCGCAAUCCAUUUCAAGAGCUCAUAUCGACAAAUGGGUUUACGACCUCGAUGUUGGAUCAGGGUAUCCCAGUGGCGCAGCAGCUACUAACGGUUCGUUUGUUCAACGAUUAAAACCC